CCUAGAGUUGUAGGCUUUGCCUGCUAUCUCUUACCCAUGUCUUUUGAGUACCUUCGUUUCCUCGGCGGGUCCGCCCGCCGAUUGGACAGUUUAAACCAUUUGCAGUUGCAAUCAGCGUCUGAAAAAACUUAAUAGUUA
rnacentral:misc_RNA from 1 species